UUAAGUUAUUAAGGGCGCACGGUGGAUGCCUUGGCACUAGAAGCCGAUGAAGGACGUUACUAACGACGAUAUGCUUUGGGGAGCUGUAAGUAAGCUUUGAUCCAGAGAUUUCCGAAUGGGGAAACCCAGCAUGAGUUAUGUCAUGUUAUCGAUAUGUGAAUACAUAGCAUAUCAGAAGGCACACCCGGAGAACUGAAACAUCUUAGUACCCGGAGGAAGAGAAAGAAAAUUCGAUUCCCUUAGUAGCGGCGAGCGAAACGGGAAGAGCCCAAACCAACAAGCUUGCUUGUUGGGGUUGUAGGACACUCUAUACGGAGUUACAAAGGACGACAUUAGACGAAUCAUCUGGAAAGAUGAAUCAAAGAAGGUAAUAAUCCUGUAGUCGAAAAUGUUGUCUCUCUUGAGUGGAUCCUGAGUACGACGGAGCACGUGAAAUUCCGUCGGAAUCUGGGAGGACCAUCUCCUAAGGCUAAAUACUCUCUAGUGACCGAUAGUGAACCAGUACCGUGAGGGAAAGGUGAAAAGCACCCCGGAAGGGGAGUGAAAUAGAACCUGAAACCGUGUGCUUACAAGUAGUCAGAGCCCGUUAAUGGGUGAUGGCGUGCCUUUUGUAGAAUGAACCGGCGAGUUACGAUUUGAUGCAAGGUUAAGCAGUAAAUGUGGAGCCGUAGCGAAAGCGAGUCUGAAUAGGGCGUUUAGUAUUUGGUCGUAGACCCGAAACCAGGUGAUCUACCCUUGGUCAGGUUGAAGUUCAGGUAACACUGAAUGGAGGACCGAACCGACUUACGUUGAAAAGUGAGCGGAUGAACUGAGGGUAGCGGAGAAAUUCCAAUCGAACCUGGAGAUAGCUGGUUCUCUCCGAAAUAGCUUUAGGGCUAGCCUCAAGUGAUGAUUAUUGGAGGUAGAGCACUGUUUGGACGAGGGGCCCCUCUCGGGUUACCGAAUUCAGACAAACUCCGAAUGCCAAUUAAUUUAACUUGGGAGUCAGAACAUGGGUGAUAAGGUCCGUGUUCGAAAGGGAAACAGCCCAGACCACCAGCUAAGGUCCCAAAAUAUAUGUUAAGUGGAAAAGGAUGUGGCGUUGCCCAGACAACUAGGAUGUUGGCUUAGAAGCAGCCAUCAUUUAAAGAGUGCGUAAUAGCUCACUAGUCGAGUGACACUGCGCCGAAAAUGUACCGGGGCUAAACAUAUUACCGAAGCUGUGGAUUGUCCUUUGGACAAUGGUAGGAGAGCGUUCUAAGGGCGUUGAAGCAUGAUCGUAAGGACAUGUGGAGCGCUUAGAAGUGAGAAUGCCGGUGUGAGUAGCGAAAGACGGGUGAGAAUCCCGUCCACCGAUUGACUAAGGUUUCCAGAGGAAGGCUCGUCCGCUCUGGGUUAGUCGGGUCCUAAGCUGAGGCCGACAGGCGUAGGCGAUGGAUAACAGGUUGAUAUUCCUGUACCACCUAUAAUCGUUUUAAUCGAUGGGGGGACGCAGUAGGAUAGGCGAAGCGUGCGAUUGGAUUGCACGUCUAAGCAGUAAGGCUGAGUAUUAGGCAAAUCCGGUACUCGUUAAGGCUGAGCUGUGAUGGGGAGAAGACAUUGUGUCUUCGAGUCGUUGAUUUCACACUGCCGAGAAAAGCCUCUAGAUAGAAAAUAGGUGCCCGUACCGCAAACCGACACAGGUAGUCAAGAUGAGAAUUCUAAGGUGAGCGAGCGAACUCUCGUUAAGGAACUCGGCAAAAUGACCCCGUAACUUCGGGAGAAGGGGUGCUCUUUAGGGUUAACGCCCAGAAGAGCCGCAGUGAAUAGGCCCAAGCGACUGUUUAUCAAAAACACAGGUCUCUGCUAAACCGUAAGGUGAUGUAUAGGGGCUGACGCCUGCCCGGUGCUGGAAGGUUAAGAGGAGUGGUUAGCUUCUGCGAAGCUACGAAUCGAAGCCCCAGUAAACGGCGGCCGUAACUAUAACGGUCCUAAGGUAGCGAAAUUCCUUGUCGGGUAAGUUCCGACCCGCACGAAAGGCGUAACGAUUUGGGCACUGUCUCAACGAGAGACUCGGUGAAAUCAUAGUACCUGUGAAGAUGCAGGUUACCCGCGACAGGACGGAAAGACCCCGUGGAGCUUUACUGUAGCCUGAUAUUGAAAUUCGGCACAGCUUGUACAGGAUAGGUAGGAGCCUUUGAAACGUGAGCGCUAGCUUACGUGGAGGCGCUGGUGGGAUACUACCCUAGCUGUGUUGGCUUUCUAACCGGCACCACUUAUCGUGGUGGGAGACAGUGUCAAGCGGGCAGUUUGACUGGGGCGGUCGCCUCCUAAAAGGUAACGGAGGCGCUCAAAGGUUCCCUCAGAAUGGUUGGAAAUCAUUCAUAGAGUGUAAAGGCAUAAGGGAGCUUGACUGCGAGACCUACAAGUCGAGCAGGGUCGAAAGACGGACUUAGUGAUCCGGUGGUUCCGCAUGGAAGGGCCAUCGCUCAACGGAUAAAAGCUACCCCGGGGAUAACAGGCUUAUCUCCCCCAAGAGUUCACAUCGACGGGGAGGUUUGGCACCUCGAUGUCGGCUCAUCGCAUCCUGGGGCUGUAGUCGGUCCCAAGGGUUGGGCUGUUCGCCCAUUAAAGCGGUACGCGAGCUGGGUUCAGAACGUCGUGAGACAGUUCGGUCCCUAUCCGUCGUGGGCGUAGGAAAUUUGAGAGGAGCUGUCCUUAGUACGAGAGGACCGGGAUGGACAUACCUCUGGUGUACCAGUUGUCGUGCCAACGGCAUAGCUGGGUAGCUAUGUGUGGACGGGAUAAGUGCUGAAAGCAUCUAAGCAUGAAGCCCCCCUCAAGAUGAGAUUUCCCAACUUCGGUUAUAAGAUCCCUCAAAGAUGAUGAGGUUAAUAGGUUCGAGGUGGAAGCAUGGUGACAUGUGGAGCUGACGAAUACUAAUCGAUCGAAGACUUAAUCAA
rnacentral:rRNA from 1 species